GUGUAAAAGCUGCUAAUGAUGAAAACACACGCUGCCUUUAUAUUCUUCAGUAAGUGGCCGUGGUAUAAGAGUCAUAGUACACAGCUGAUAUACAAAAUAAUGGACCUGAUGGAGGAAACGCUGUUCUUCACCUUUACGCUGUCCAGUGUUUUGAUUGGACGCCUCAUCACACACUGUCACUUAUCAGACAGACCUGAAAUCUGCACAAUAUCUUCCUUGUAUAAUAUGUAAAUAUGCUAAUCUGGAAUAAUAUUUAUUUUUUUAACGUUUUUUUUUAAUUUAAAGCUGUAUGUGAUAUUUAAUGUUUCUUCCGCAUUAAUGACUAGAAUAUGGAAAGACACAGCCAAGAGAUGUAUUUGUGUAUUUUUCAUGCAUCUGUUUCUUGAAAAUAUAUAAUGAAAAAUAAAAAAGGAAUAUUCUGGCAAAAAUGGAAACAGCAAAGUUUUUAUUUAUUUAUUUUUAUUCCUAAAAGAUUCAUUAGAAAAUUAAUAAUUUACUUUUUUAACUUCAGUAAAUAAAAAUCUUAAACACUUGUCAAUUCAAAUAAGGCUCAUAAGAUAAAGUGAAUAAAACUGGAUAAACAUGUGAUCCAGUGAUGAUAAAACACAGUAUAAAAGUCUAUAUUUACAGAUAUAUAUGUAUACAUAUGUAGAUAUUUACAGACAUGCUGAUGAUGUUUUUGUUUUUAAAGCUACACAAUAGUUUAGCAGCUGACUGUAACAUACAACCAGCGGUGGAAAGUAACUCAGUGCAUUUCUUCAAGUUCUGUACUUCAGUCCAAUUUCAUUUUAUGCUACUUUAUACUUCUACUCCCUUGGUGAAAUUCACGCUCAGUAUGUAUAGUAAAAAAUAAGCUCCACCUUUACCAGCUGUACCAUUAAAGUGAUGAACACA